ensembl:lncRNA
CACCCCGAUGCAGUGAAAAACGAAUAGAGAAGGAGAAAAGUUUUCAUGUUCAGACUACAAUCAGAAAGAAGAAGAGCUUCAAAUGACGUCGUUGUAAGGAAGGACGUCAAGCCGUGGGCUUUUUCCAUGCUGGAUUUUUAAAAGGCGGGUACUACAUGAUUUGCUUAAUUAUUUAUUUGAUCUAGUUUGACUGAUUUGUCAGCGUAAAAUAUUGCCUAAUUGUUGACAUUUUGCUGCCCAGCCUGUGUACCUGUUUGCCGAGAUGAGCGUUGGACGGCUGGCAGGAUCUACGGAUCGGAUAGCCAAGUGAUACAACCCCUCAAAGCGGUUCAACACUACAUCUCAUCAUUCAUCCAUUCAACACUGCUGACAGGAGCGAGCAAGCAAGGUGCCAUCCGUCCAUCAAGACUGACUAACAUCAUACAACAUUCACACACUGCAGGAACAGCCGACCGGAGCAAUAUGGGGCGAAGGGUCUUGACAAACCCCAACAAAUCAACAGCUGCCAAUAAACUGCCAAUAGUGACGUUGAACAACAGCUACGUUUGUUGUUUACUUUCUUAAUGACGAUUUUGUGAGUGUCUUCAAUGGGAGGACUGAAGGGACGAGUUGUCAGUGUACUACACUUGGCAACAUUCUGGAACUACUACCAUUUUAUUUACCUAGCGUACUCUUACUACUUUCUCAACAUUACUAACCCAACCUUUAAGUAAUGACACUUUAUUUAUCUAAACAAACCACAACCUGGCCAGGUACUUUUGCCCCAGUUUGCAUUUUGCUUUUCUCUGGAGUGGUGUCAGAUAACA